rnacentral:rRNA from 1 species
AUUGAACGCUGGCGGCAUGCCUUACACAUGCAAGUCGAACGGCAGCGGGGGAGAAGCUUGCUUUUCCUGCCGGCGAGUGGCGAACGGGUGAGUAAUACAUCGGAACGUGCCCUGUAGUGGGGGGUAACUAGUCGAAAGAUUAGCUAAUACCGCAUACGACCUGAGGGUGAAAGUGGGGGACCGCAAGGCCUCAUGCUAUAGGAGCGGCCGAUGUCUGAUUAGCUAGUUGGUGGGGUAAAGGCCUACCAAGGCGACGAUCAGUAGCUGGUCUGAGAGGCCGACCAGCCACACUGGGACUGAGACACGGCCCAGACUCCUACGGGAGGCAGCAGUGGGGAAUUUUGGAAAAUGGGCGAAAGCCUGAUCCAGCAAUGCCGCGUGUGUGAAGAAGGCCUUCGGGUUGUAAGCACUUUUGUCCGGAAAGAAAUGGCUCUGGUUAAUGCCUGGGGUCGAUGACGGUACCGGAAGAAUAAGGACCGGCUAACUACGUGCCAGCCGCCGCCGUAA